CUUACACAUGCAAGUCGAACGGCAGCAUGAUCUAGCUUGCUAGAUUGAUGGCGAGUGGCGAACGGGUGAGUAAUACAUCGGAACGUGCCCUGUAGUGGGGGAUAACUAGUCGAAAGAUUAGCUAAUACCGCAUACGACCUGAGGGUGAAAGUGGGGGACCGCAAGGCCUCAUGCUAUAGGAGCGGCCGAUGUCUGAUUAGCUAGUUGGUGAGGUAAAGGCUCACCAAGGCGACGAUCAGUAGCUGGUCUGAGAGGACGAUCAGCCACACUGGGACUGAGACACGGCCCAGACUCCUACGGGAGGCAGCAGUGGGGAAUUUUGGACAAUGGGCGAAAGCCUGAUCCAGCAAUGCCGCGUGUGUGAAGAAGGCCUUCGGGUUGUAAAGCACUUUUGUCCGGAAAGAAAUGGCUCUGGUUAAUACCUGGGGUCGAUGACGGUACCGGAAGAAUAAGGACCGGCUAACUACGUGCCAGCAGCCGCGGUAAUACGUAGGGUCCAAGCGUUAAUCGGAAUUACUGGGCGUAAAGCGUGCGCAGGCGGUUGUGCAAGACCGAUGUGAAAUCCCCGAGCUUAACUUGGGAAUUGCAUUGGUGACUGCACGGCUAGAGUGUGUCAGAGGGGGGUAGAAUUCCACGUGUAGCAGUGAAAUGCGUAGAGAUGUGGAGGAAUACCGAUGGCGAAGGCAGCCCCCUGGGAUAACACUGACGCUCAUGCACGAAAGCGUGGGGAGCAAACAGGAUUAGAUACCCUGGUAGUCCACGCCCUAAACGAUGUCAACUAGUUGUUGGGGAUUCAUUUCCUUAGUAACGUAGCUAACGCGUGGAGUUGACCGCCUGGGGAGUACGGUCGCAAGAUUAAAACUCAAAGGAUUUGACGGGGACCCGCACAAGCGGUGGAUGAUGUGGAUUAAUUCGAUGCAACGCGAAAAACCUUUACCUUACUCCUUGAC
rnacentral:rRNA from 1 species